rnacentral:tRNA from 2 species
GCCCCCAUAGUCUAGAGGCCUAGGACACCUCUCUUUCACGGAGGAAACGGGGAUUCGAAUUCCCCUGGGGGUA